rnacentral:rRNA from 1 species
AUGAGGGCGACCAGUCUACUGCGGUUGCUCUUGAUCUGCUUCUACCUCCUUUUGGUCCACACCUUCGGCGCCUCCGGUGUUGGUGACAAGCUCGAGAAGGGCCAGAACCUCACCGACGGCGACACGCUCGUCUCGGCCGGUGGCUCCUUCACCCUCGGCUUCUUCUCUCCCGGGGCGUCCACCAAGAGGUACCUCGGCAUAUGGUUCUCCGUGUCCAACGGCACCGCCGUCUGCUGGGUUGCCAACCGCGACCAACCUCUGGUCGACAAGUCCGGCAUGCUGGUGCUCAACGACCUCGGCAGCCUCGUUCUGUUAGAUGGUUCCCGCCGGACGGUCUGGUCUUCAGACUUCUCCGCCGGCGCUUCUGCGGUGGUGGCGCAGCUUCUCGUGUCCGGCAGCCUGGUCGUACACAAUGGCAGCAGCGACGCCUCCCUGUGGCAGUCGUUCGACCAUCCGUCGGACACCUUGCUGCCUGACAUGAAGCUCGGCAAGAACCGCUGGAGCGGAGCCGAGUGGCAGCUCACGUCGUGGCGCUCGGCCGACGACCCGGCUCCGGGGGACUACCGCCGCACGCUGGAAAGCAAGGGGUUACCGGAGCUCGUGGUGUGGCGUGGCAACGUCAAGACGUACCGCACGGGGCCGUGGAACGGGCUCUACUUCAACGGCGUCCCGGAGGUGUCGGCGUACGCGGGCAAAUACCCUCUGCGGGCGACGACGAGCCCGUGGGAGGUCACCUACGGGUACACCGCCGCGCCCGGCGCGCCGCUGACCCGCGUCGUGGUGAACCACACCGGCAAGGCGGAGCGGUGGGAGUGGGACGCGAGCAGCUGGGCGUGGACUCGUAUAUUCCAGGGGCCGAGGGACCCGUGCGACGAGUACGGGAGAUGCGGGCCGUUCGGCCUCUGCGACCCCGAGGCCGCGUCGUCGGGGUUCUGCGGCUGCGUCGACGGGUUCAGCAUCCCUGCCGCCACGACCCUGUCGGCGCAGGCGGUGAAGGGUACCACCUGCCGAAGACAUGCAGCCCUGGACUGUGCCGGCGGCACUACGACGGACGGCUUCGUGGUGGUGCGGGGGGUGAAGCUUCCCGACACGCAGAACGCGUCGGUGGACAUGGGCGUCACGCUGGAGGAGUGCAGGGCGAGGUGCUUCGCCAACUGCUCGUGCUUGGCCUACGCCGCCGCCGACAUCAGGGGAGGCGGCGAUGGUUCCGGCUGCGUCAUGUGGACGGAUGCCAUCGUUGAUCUACGUCUCGUGGCCAUGGGGCAGAAUCUCUACCUGAGGUUGUCAAAAUCAGAACUUGAUGACCAUAAAAAGUUCCUUGUUCUACUCGUUUCCAUACCUUUAGCUUCGAUUGUUAUUAUUAUACUGGUCGUCUUUGCAAUUUGGUGGAGAAGGAAGCGCACAAUCAUAGGUGCUAUUCCUCAGAGCCAUGCCAUGGCCGUUCCCUUAGUUAGUCUAGCGAUUAUAAAGGAUGUCACUGGAAAUUUCUGCGAAAGCAAUAUGAUCGGCCAAGGUGGAUUUAGCAUCGUUUACAAGGGGCAGCUGCCUGAAGGAAGAACAAUUGCUGUCAAGAGGCUUAAGCAGUCGGUGCUCACCACAAAAGGCAAGAAAGAUUUUGCAAGAGAAGUGGAGGUGAUGGCUGGGCUCCGGCAUGGUAGUCUUGUCCGUCUCCUUGCCUACUGCAAUGAAAGCAAGGAGCGGAUACUCAUCUACGAAUACAUGCAAAACAAGAGCCUAAACGUCCACAUAUUCAGCAAUGUCAACCUUCGUGCCUCACUGAACUGGGCAAGGAGACUGGAAUUAAUUCGAGGGAUUGCGCAUGGCAUUGCAUACCUACACGGAGGAUCUGGUGACAAUGUUAUCCAUAGGGAUCUUAAGCCGGGCAACAUUCUGCUAGACGACGAAUGGAAGCCUAAAAUCGCUGACUUUGGAACUGCCAAGCUGUUUGCAGUGGAUCAGACCGGGCCUGAUCAAACAAUUGUAGUUUCACCGGGGUAUGCAGCGCCGGAGUACGCGCGGCAAGGGAACAUGACACUUAAGUGUGACGUCUAUAGUUUCGGAGUUAUUCUCUUGGAGACACUCAGUGGGCGAAGGAACGGUGGCAUGCAGGGCCUCCUUUCACAUGCCUGGGGAUUGUGGGAGACGAACAUGAUCGCGGAACUUUUGGACACAACAAUGGUACCACUCUCUGAGUCCGAGCCUGAGCUCUUGUCCGAGCUGACACGAUGUAUCCAGAUUGGGCUCCUCUGCAUCCAGGAAACUCCUUGUGACAGGCCGACCAUGUCCGCCGUUGUUCCCAUGUUGAUGAGCACGACGUCGCAAAUCGACCGGCCAAGAAGAAGGCCACCUUUGGAUUGCGAAGGAUUCAUGCCUUCAGAUUCAUCACAUGGGCUCGAGACCAAACUCUUGAGAUCAACUACGAUUGAUUUGACGUAG